GAUGAACGCUGGCGGCGUGCCUAAUACAUGCAAGUCGAGCGAACAGACGAUGAGCUUGCUCCUCUGACGUUAGCGGCGGACGGGUGAGUAACACGUGGAUAACCUACCUAUAAGACUGGGAUAACGUCGGGAAACCGGAGCUAAUACCGGAUAAUAUAUUGAACCGCAUGGUUCAAUAGUUAAAGACGGUUUUGCUGUCACUUAUAGAUGUAUCCGCGCCGCAUUAGCUAGCUGGUAAGGUAACGGCUUACCAAGGCAACGAUGCGUAGCCGACCUGAGAGGGUGAUCGGCCACACUGGAACUGAGACACGGUCCAGACUCCUACGGGAGGCAGCAGUAGGGAAUCUUCCGCAAUGGGCGAAAGCUUGACGGAGCAACGCAGCGUGAGUGAUGAAGGUCUUCGGAUCGUAAAACUCUGUUAUUAGGGAAGAACAAAUGUGUAAGUAACUAUGCACGUCUUGACGGUACCUAAUCAGAAAGCCACGGCUAACUACGUG
rnacentral:rRNA from 1 species